CCAUCGACGGAUGCACUAGGCUGCAAAGCACACUCUAUGAUCCUGGAGCUGGGGCGGCGUUGGCAGGGCUGCGUCUGCAUCCUGCCCCUUCGUGGCCAAUCACCGGCGGGCAGCCGGUGACGUCAUGAAGCUUUUCCCAUCUGCUGGCACCACAAAGCACACUGGGAAGCAGGAGCGGAGGGAGGCUGGCGGCGGCCCGUGGUUGGCCCCUGCCGCAGCCCCCUGGCCCCGCCCCCACCUCUGAUGUCAUACACUAGGCACACCCCCACAUCUGACGUCAGGAGCGGGGGGCGUUAUUUCACUCCGAAACGGGGCUGUUUCGGAGUGAAAUAACGCCCCCCGCAUCUGAUGUCAGACACAGGGGGGGUGUCUGGCGCUGCGAGGCGCGGCCCGGGGGGGCGGGCGGCCCAGGUUCUUUGAACCCAUUCGCCCAAUGGUGGCUCCACCCCUGCUGGGAAGGAAGAGGCACCCCUGGAGGCUUCCCAUGGGGGCGGGGGUUGCAGCCACGGAGUUUGGCAACGGACCCAGAGGCUGCCUUGACCCGUCUGUUUCCUGGGCUUGCAGACCCAGCCUGAGAUGCUGCCUGCGGGCAACCAACGGAGUAGGAGCUUGCCUGCCCUCCAGCCCACCCCCAAGAGGCCGUGUGAACAAGCCUAAUAAUUAUUGAGCCAGUUUCUGUGGUGUAAAUAUGGCCCUGGAGGAACAGCAUCAAGGAGAGGUCAAGAUACUGCGGAAAGGAUGGAGGAGAGCAAAGAUCGAGGACUGAGUUGCUGAGCUGGGAGUGUAGGAUACGUGCGUGCCUCUAUGUCGCUCUGCGGAAGCUCGGCCAGGAGCGAGAGAAACGUCUCGGCCAACAGAUGAAAAGCCCAAACUGAAUUCAUCUCAUGCACUUUGUUCAAAAGAUGACUAUCUACAAAUGCAAAAGAAGGGAAAAAAAGAUGGUUGGACGAACGCCGCGCAAACACACAUACUUUAGACAUGCAGACCAACGUAUCUCCCAACGGCCCUUCUGGUAUUCCGAGCAAGGUGCUUCCUGCAGCCAGCAAAUCUGUUCUCCUGCAUUUUUAUCGUAACAAAAUUCAGUUGUUGGUGCAAUGGCACAUUUGGACCAAAGAGAGCUGAGUUGCUUCUACGGGUGCCCCAACCUUGCGUCAGGGUGCAAGAAGGGCACUGCAACACAGGCAACAUGCACCGGUUGUGGCAUCAGUGACGCCUCUAAGAAAACACUGAACAGAAUGGCUGGGCUCUUCCCGUUCCUUCCAGGCAUCUCUUUGGGCUUCCGCUGUUUCCUCCUUCCUUACCUCUUCUUUGAUGUUGAAGCGCGACGGCUCCUGUCUGCUCCGGUUCGACCUCCUGACCCCGUAAACAUCUGGAUAUUCUUCCCACAUCUGCAAAACAAAUUGGAGUCGCGUCUGGAUCCUGCCUUUGGUUAAAGGAACCCAAGGCAUUUUGCAAAGGUUUUUCCCAUCCUAACCUAGCCAUUAGUUGUGUUAUUAAUAGAUUAAAGGGUCUGGCAUUUUGUUCGUUUGUUGGAAGAGGGAGUGCUCUGCCUCGGAAGAAGCGGAGGAAAUUUUGGGUGUGGUUGCCAGGUGUAAAACUCCUCCAAUAACAGAGGAUCUGAAGAGCGCACAAUUUCAAAGGUAUUUUGAAGGAGACAGGUAUUAGUUCAGGGCUGUUAAUAUAUGGUGUUAUAUUUUUCUGAACUUACCUGUAUCUUGAUUUGUAUUUAUAUUUCCUGGCGUACUUAUUCUUGUAAUCAUUCUCAUGAUAUUUUGAAUGAAGUUUCUUUUCCGUA